GGAUUCCUGAAUCUAAUAGAAGUAGGCGGAAUAUGACAUGUAGCGGUGAAAUGCUUAGAUAUGUCAUAGAACACCGAUAGCGAAGGCAGCUUACUAUGUUAGUAUUGACGCUAAUGCACGAAAGCGUGGGGAGCGAACAGGAUUAGAUACCCUGGUAGUCCACGCCGUAAACGAUGAUUACUCGCUAUUGGCGAUACACUGUCAGUGGCUAAGCGAAAGUGAUAAGUAAUCCACCUGGGGAGUACGAUCGCAAGGUUGAAACUCAAAGGAAUCGACGGGGGCCCGCACAAGCGGUGGAGCAUGUGGUUUAAUUCGAUGAUACGCGAGGAACCUUACCAGGUCUUAAAUGCAUAACGAACGAUUGGGAAACCAAUCUUUCUUCGGACGGAAUGCAAGGUGCUGCAUGGUUGUCGUCAGCUCGUGCCGUGAGGUGUCAGGUUAAGUCCUAUAACGAGCGCAACCCCUAUUCUUAGUUGCCAGCGGUUCGGCCGGGGACUCUAAGAAAACUGCCAGUGCAAGCUGUGAGGAAGGUGGGGAUGACGUCAAAUCAUCACGGCCCUUACGACCUGGGCCACACACGUGCUACAAUGGUAGGUACAAAGGGCAGCCACUUGGCGACAAGGAGCUAAUCUCUAAAACCUAUCUCAGUUCGGAUUGGAGUCUGAAACUCGACUCUAUGAAGCUGGAAUCGCUAGUAAUCGCGCAUCAGCCAUGGCGCGGUGAAUACGUUCCCGGGCCUUGUACACACCGCCCGUCAAGCCAUGGAAGCUGGGAGUACCUGAAGUCGGUAACCAUAUAGGAGCUGCCUAGGGUAAAACUAGUAACUGGGGCUAGUCGUAACAAGGUAACCGU
rnacentral:rRNA from 1 species